AGCGCAGGCGGACCGGCAAGUUGGAAGUGAAAACUAUGGGCUCAACCCAUAAAUUGCUUUCAAAACUACUGGCCUUGAGUAGUGCAGAGGUAGGUGGAAUUCCCGGUGUAGCGGUGGAAUGCGUAGAUAUCGGGAGGAACACCAGUGGCGAAGGCGACCUACUGGGCACCAACUGACGCUGAGGCUCGAAAGCAUGGGUAGCAAACA
rnacentral:rRNA from 1 species